rnacentral:lncRNA from 1 species
UGCAACAAGUAUUUUUUCUCAUUCAAUCGAACAAAGAGUAAAACCUAAUUAUAUUGUUCUAUUAUGGCCCGAGAGUACAAAUUUUGAUCGAAUCGAUGUCAACGUUCACAAGAACCAAAACCGGAACAACAUUAGACUACUCAGUUGCGCCAUAACAAUAUAACUUUGCAACUAGUACUUUUUCUCAUUCUAUCGAAAAAAGAGUAAAAGCUAAUUAUAUUGUUCUAUUAUUCCCCGAGAGUGUAAUUUCGAACGAAUCGAUAUCAAUGUUCACAAGAAUCAAAACCGGAACAACAUUAGACAACUCAGUUGCGCCCUAACGGUAUAACUUUGCAACGAGUACUUUUUCUCAUUCAAUCGAACAAAGAGUAAAAUCUAAUUAUAUUGUUCUAUUAUGCCCCGAGAGUGUAAAUUUCGAACGAAUCGUUGUCAACGUUUACAAUAACCAAAACCGGAACAACAUUAGACUACUCAGUUGCGCCCUAACAGUAUAAAUUUGCAACGAGUUCUUUUUCUCAUUCUAUCGAACAAAGAGUAAAAACUAAUUAUAUUGUUCUAUUAUGCCCCGAGAGUGUAAAUUUCGAACGAAUCGAUGUCAACGUUCACAAAAACCAAAACCGGAACAACAUUAGACUACUCAGUUGCGCCCUAAUAAUAUUACUUUGCGACGAUUACUUUUUAUCAUUCAAACAAACAAAGAGUAAAAACCUAAUUAUAUUGUUUUAUUAUGCCCCGAGAGUGUAAUAGUGGAACGAAACGAUAUCAAAGUUCACAAGAACCAAAACCGGAACAACAUUAGACUACUCGGUUGCGUCCUAACAGUAUAACUUUGCAACAAGUACUUUUUCUCACUCUUUCGAACAAAGAGUAAAAACUAAUUAUAUUGUUCUAUUAUACCCCAAGAGUGUAAUGUUGGAAGGAAUCGAUGUCAACGUUCACAAGAACAAAAUCCGGAACAACAUUAGACUACUCACUUGUGCCCUAACAUUAUAACUUUGCAACGAGUACUUUUUCUCAUUCAAUCAAACAAAGAGUAAAUCCUAAUUACAUUGUUCUAUUAUGCCCCGAGAGUGUAAUGUUGGAAGGAAUCGAUGUCAACGUUCACAAGAACCAAAACCGGAACUACAUUAGACAACUCACUUGCGCCCUGACAGUAUAAAUUUGCAACGAGUUCUUUUUCUCAUUCUAUCGAACAAAGAGUAAAAACCUAAUUAUAUUGUUCUAUUAUACCCCGAGAGUGUAAUAUUAGAACGAAUCGAUGUCUACGUUCACAAGAACCAAAAUCGGAACAACAUUAGACUACUCAGUAGCGGCCUAACAGUAUAAAUUUGCAACGAAUACUUUUUCUCAUUCUAUUGAACAAAGAGUAAAACCUAAUUAUCUUGUUCUAUUAUGCCCUGAGAGUGUAAAUUUCGAACGAAUCGAUGUCAACGUUCACAAGAACCAAAACCGGAACAAUAUUAGACUACUCAAUUACGCCCAAACAAUAUAACUUUGCAAGAGUACUUUUUCUCAUUCAAACAAACAAAGAGUAAAAACCUAAUUAUAUUGUUCUAUUAUGCUCCGAGAGCGUAAUAGUGGAACGAAACGAUGUCAAAGUUCACAAGAACCAAAACCGGAACAACAUUAGACUACUCGGUUGCGUCCUAACAGUAUAACAUUGCAACAAGUACUUUUUCUCACUCUUUCAAACAAAGAGUAAAAACUAAUUAUAUUGUUCUAUUAUACCCCGAAAGUGUAAUAUUGGAAGGAAUCGAUGUCAACGUUCACAAGAACCAAAACCGGAACAACAUUAGACUACUCACUUGCGCUCUAACAUUAUAACUUUGCAACGAGUACUUUUUCUCAUUCAAUCAAACAAAGAGUAUAUCCUAAUUAUAUUGUUCUAUUAUGCCCCGAGAGUGUAAUGUUGGAAGGAAUCGAUGUCAAUGUUCACAAGAACCAAAACCGGAACUGCAUUAGACAACUCACUUGCGCCCUAACAGUAUAAAUUUGCAACGAGUUCGUUUUCUCAUUCUAUCGAACAAAGAGUAAAAACCUAAUUAUAUUGUUCUAUUAUACCCCGAGAGUGUAAUAUUGUAACGAGUCGAUGUCUACGUUCACAAGAACCAAAAUCGGAACAACAUUAGUGUGACACCCUGACUUCCCAGGGGGUCACCCAUCCUAGGACUACUCCCGUCCUAGCAUGCUUAACUCUCUUAACCUCUUGGGUCUAGCACCACCCAAAAUGAUUAAGCCGGGUUAAGAGUUUAGCCAUAUUAUAUCUUAUAUAUAGGAUUAUCUGGGGUCUCACAUUCUCCCCUCCUUUAAGCCCUGACGUCCUCGUCAGGCUUAGACUCACAAGUACCGGGCGAUGUGAGACUCGUCUCGCUAGCCUGUCAUCCAGACCCUGGCUCAGCCGAGACUCAUCUCACACUUCCGGCUGGUAAUUGGCUCUGAUACCAUCUGUGACACCCUGACUUCCCAGGGGGUCACCCAUCCUAGGACUACUCCCGUCCUAGCACGCUUAACUCUCUUAACCUCUUGGGUCUAGCACCACCCAAAAUGAUUAAGCCGGGUUAAGAGUUUAGCCAUAUUAUAUCUUAUAUAUAGGAUUAUCUGGGGUCUCACAAUUAGACUACUCAGUAGCGGCCUAACAGUAUAAAUUUGCAACGAAUACUUUUUCUCAUUCUAUCGAACAAAGAGUAAAACCUAAUUAUCUUGUUCUAUUAUGUCCCGAGAGUGUAAAUUUCGAACGAAUCGAUGUCAACGUUCACAAGAACCAAAACCGGAAUAACAUUAGACUACUCAGUUGCGCCCUAACUGUCCCGCCCCGGGACCGAUGCCAAUUUGGCUCGACCCGAGCACGUCAAAUAGACGCCGAAUGGACAGAGUUUCCCCUAUCCGCCCAAGGCUCAUCACAUGUACAAAUUCAAACAAGAAAUGCACUAGCGAAACAUGCACAAACGGCUUACACGAGGGUAAGCAAUAGCAAUUAGUGAAAGAUAGGAAACUAGCAUUCAUUCUGUACUAUGAUUCAGUUUAGAUCAUAUACAUUACAUCCAACUUGUAAUUUAUCGAUUUCUUACAUUCAUUACAUCAUUUCAUCAUAUCUUUCUUACAUAACAUUUACCUCAAAAUACACAUUACAUUCUUUUCUUUACAGCAUUUAUUAUCAUGUACCAAAAGAUGAUCAUAGGGUACUUUACUACAAAAUGAAACCAAACUUUGGUGGCCUCUGACUAAGGCGCGAUACCUUUACCUCGGUCGCUCGCCGGCAAGCUCGGUCCCGGCUCUGUGGAAAUAGUGGGGUGAGAACUACAACAAAGUUCCCAAUGGGUUCGGCCUCAACAUCACCGACUUUCCCACUAGGACUAACUCAGGCAUAAUAGAAAGAAUAAGCUGCAUAUAGUAACCAAUCUAUACCUAAUGCUAAUAUGCCUGAACAAUAAAGCAAGGAGUAUGCUCAACAUUAAAUAAUGCAGAUUAUGCAAAUUCUUUGUUCUUUUUAUUUUACUCUUUGUUCUUUGUUCUUUGUUUUUUGCACUUUGUUCUUUGCUCUUUGUUCUUUAAUCUUAAGGCUAAUCCGGGGAUAUCGCCACAUUAACUUGCUUCACAUUAAGUCCAUCAUCGCAGGAACUCACUCGCUAGGACCGUCCUUCGGGUUUACUCCAACCCGUGAUACAUAACUCCGGAGCGCAUCGCCCGAGGGGGAGUGACCGCCCUCAAGCACGGAACUCAUAGCAAGUAUGAUCGAAUUCUUAACUUAAAGGAUUAUAUGUUCAAUCUUGACUUUACACUAACUCUAGUGUUCUUUACGUCACUUCAUGUUGCUACUCUAGCAAUCAUUGUUCUUUACAUUUCCCUACUUUUGCUAACUUUAGCAUUCUUGUUCUUUACAUUUCUUAUUCUUAUUGCCCCACUUUACUUUAACUUUACACAUUGUCAUUAUCAUCAUUCUUUACAUCACUUUGGUUCUUUGGCUCACACUAACUCUAGUGUCACUUUACUUUACGUCUUCAAAUGCCACUCGAUAUAUGUCAUAGUGUCACUCUGUUCUUUUGCUCACUUUGGGUGCUCACUUUUCUCUCAUGCAUACACAUAGGGUUUUUACAUUCAUAAGGUUCUCAACCAUCACAUUAGGCAAGUUGUACUCACAAUCAUGCAACAUCACAUUCUCAUCAUCUCUUUACCCUAAAAUGCAUUCAACAAAUAUGUAACAUAUGCUCAAUUGAAUGACACAUUAGGCAUAGAGAGAAGUUCAACGAGUUUGGAAAGCACCACCCACCUCGUAGGCUUUCAAAGGUGCUCCGACGAUUUUCUUGGGAUUUUUAGGCUUCUCGUUCUUUACCUGCGGCAAAACGAAGCCCUAAUAGGUCAUUUGCUCAUAUCUUUUCAUUGGUUCUUCGGAAUGUUAAUCCGAGCGCACCAACGUGUCGGAAAUAUCCCCAAUUAGGUUUCUAGAGGGUCAAUUGCACUUAGAAAUCCCCAUGAGCAAAGGCCCCAAUUUGGUGCCCUAGCUCCAUAGCAUUCAUCAAACCUAGGGUUUGAUCUCAAAGAGAAGCAAAAGUAGCUUCAUUCUACUCUAAAGAGUCCAUCUAAACCAUCUUUAGACAAAUCAAAACCCUACUUAGGGUUUCACCAUGAGAGGUGAUGAAGCUCACCUUCAAGCUUCACCAUUUCUAUGGUCUUGAUCUCAAAAGAAGCAAAAGAAAAGCUUCAAAUACUCAAAUGGUUCCAUAAAACCCAUUUUAAACUUAAUCCAAACCCUAAAUUAGGUUCUACCAUAAUUAGGGUUCAAAGCUUACUUUGUAAGCUCUCAUUUUCCAAGCUAGAGAUGAGGGAGAGGGAGUUUCUUCACUUCUUCUUCUUCUUCUCGACUUUCUUCUUCUUCUUUUUCCUUCCUUUUCCUUCUCUUCUUCUUCUCCUUCUUUGUCUUCUAGACAGAGAAAAAGAGAUGAGAGGGGAUGAGAGGGUGAGAUUGAGAGAAAUCCCUCAUUUACCCCAAUACAUAGCUCAUUGGGUUGCAAAAUUGCAGAUAAACCCCUCAACUUUUACUCUUUCACACAGCCUGGACUGGGCUGUUCGCGCAGGCGGGUACCGGUCUUUCCUUCAGGGACCGGUUCUCGAAGGCUCUCCCCGCGCAGCCAGAGCUGCUGCGCGCAGGACAACCGGUCUCUCUUUGGGGGACCGGUCUCUCGGGGACCGGUCUCUCAGGUAGGGACCGGUUCCCGAGAGCUAGUUUCUCAGGACUUAGCCGAUUUUUCGACUGUCUCAUUUCAUACGCGUUCGGGGACCGGUCUCUCCCACCAGGGACCGGUCCCCCAGAGCUCAAAACUGCAGAAUGCAGAUUUUGAUUCUAUAGCUCUCGAAAACCUCCCGUAACUCACUUUUAAUCAUUUUAACACCAUCGGACUUUUCGAAGUGUACCAUCCUUGCACUUUGGUCAAUUUGACUAAAGUUCGAUAUUUAUUUUCCGAAUUUUCGGUAUAUUACACUAACAGUAUAAAUUUGUAACGAGUUCUUUUUCUCAUUUAAUCAAACAAAGAGUAAAACCUAAUUAUAUUGUUCUAUUAUGCCCCGAGAGUGAAAUGUUGGAACGAAUCGAUGUCAACGUUCACAUGAACCAAAACCGAAACAACAUUAAACUACUCAUUUUCGCCCUAACAGUAUAAAUUUGCAACGAGUACUUUUUUUCAUCCAAUCCAAAAAAGAGUAAAACCUAAUUAUAUUGUUCUAUUACACCCCGAGAGUGUAAUGUUGGAAGGAAUCGAGAUCAACGUUCACAAGAACCAAAAUCGGAACAACAUUAGACUACUCGCGCCCUAACAUUAUAACUUUGCAACGAGUACUUUUUCUCAUUCAAUCAAACAAAGAGUAAAUCCUAAUUACAUUGGUCUAUUAUGCCCCAAGAGUGUAAUGUUGGAAGGAAUCGAUGUCAACGUUCACAAAAACCAAAACCGGAACUGCAUUAGACAACUCACUUGCGCCCUAACAGUAUAAAUUUGCAACGAGUGCUUUUUCUCAUUCUAUCGAACAAAGAGUACAAGCUAAUUAUACUGUUCUAUUAUACCCUGAGAGUGUAAAUUUCGAACGAAUACAUGUCAACGUUAACAAGAACCAAAACCGAAACAACAUUAGACUACACAGUUGCGCCCUAACUGUAUAACUUUACAACGAGUACUUUUUCUCAUUCAAUCAAACAAAGAGUAAAACCUAAUUGUAUUGUUUUAUUAUGCCCCGAGAGUGUAAUAUUGGAACAAAUCGAUGUCAACGUUCACAAGAACCAAAACCGGAACAACAUUAAACUACUCGGUUGCGCCAUAAUAGUAUAAAUUUGCAACGAAUACUUUUUCUUAUUCUAUCGAACAAAGAGUAAAAGCUAAUUAUAUUGUUCUAUUAUGCCCCGAGAGUGUAAAUUUCGAACGAAUCGUUGUCAACGUUCACAAGAACCAAAACUUGAACAAUAUUAGACUACUCAGUUGCGCCCUAACAGCAUAAAUUUGCAACGAGUUUUUUUUCUCAUUCUAUCGAACAAAGAGUAAAAACUAAUUAUAUUGUUUUAUUAUGCCCUGAGAGUGUAAAUUUCAAACGAAUCGAUGUCAACGUUCACAAGAACCAAAACGGAAACAACAUUAGACUACUAAGUUGCGCCAUAACAGUAUAACUUUGCAACAAGUACUUUUUCUAAUUCAAUCGAACAAAGAGUAAAACCUAAUUACCUUGUUCUAUUAUGCCCCGAGACUGUAAAUUUCGAACGAAUCGAUGUCAACGUUCACAAGAACCAAAACCGGAACAACAUUAGACUACUCAGUUGCGCCCUAACAAUAUAACUUUGCAACGAGUACUUUUUCUCAUUCAAACAAACAAAAAGUA